AACAAGAGGUGAGUGAAUUUUCUAGUAACUCUGAGGUUAAUUUUGAAAGUUUCGAUGGUUGUGGAAAUGAUGAGGAAAAUGAAAAUCUUAUAUUCAAUUCCACACAGUUUGAGUCAAGUCAAUUUGAGGAGUUUAAAAAUUAUGAGUCUAUGCCUAAAAUUGAUCAUGUUGCAUUUAAUGAGUCGGUUGAAAAAGUCUAUAAGCCUAAA
rnacentral:lncRNA from 1 species